rnacentral:misc_RNA from 1 species
GAUGAAGAACGUAGUGAAAUGCGAUAAGUAAUGUGAAUUGCAGAAUUCAGUGAAUCAUCGAAUCUUUGAACGCACAUUGCGCCCCCUGGUAUUCCGGGGGGCAGGCCUGUCCGAGCGUCAUUACAACCCUCAAGCUCAGCUUGGUGUUGGGCCCCGCCGCCCCGGCGGGCCCUAAAGUCAGUGGCGGUGCCGUCCGGCUCCGAGCGUAGUAAUUCUUCUCGCUCUGGAGGUCCGGUCGUGUGCUCGCCAGCAACCCCCAAUUUUUUUCAGGUUGACCUCGGAUCAGGUAGGGAUACCCGCUGAACUUAAGCAUAUCAAUAAGGGAGGA